rnacentral:rRNA from 1 species
GACGAACGCUGGCGGCGUGCUUAACACAUGCAAGUCGAACGGAAAGGCCCUGCUUUUGUGGGGUGCUCGAGUGGCGAACGGGUGAGUAACACGUGAGUAACCUGCCCUUGACUUUGGGAUAACUUCAGGAAACUGGGGCUAAUACCGGAUAGGAGCUCCUGCUGCACGGUGGGGGUUGGAAAGUUUCGGCGGUUGGGGAUGGACUCGCGGCUUAUCAGCUUGUUGGUGGGGUAGUGGCUUACCAAGGCUUUGACGGGUAGCCGGCCUGAGAGGGUGACCGGCCACAUUGGGACUGAGAUACGGCCUAGACUCCUACGGGAGGCAGCAGUGGGGAAUAUUGCACAAUGGGCGGAAGCCUGAUGCAGCAACGCCGCGUGCGGGAUGACGGCCUUCGGGUUGUAAACCGCUUUCGCCUGUGACGAAGCGUGAGUGACGGUAAUGGGUAAAGAAGCACCGGCUAACUACGUG